GGAGGCAAGCACACACAGCUGGUGGGGGUCACCCUUUAUUGAGCAAGGCAACAACGUCUCUCCUUGGUGAUGUUGAGGAUCACGGCCCUGCCAGCCACGGCCCUGCAGCGGUAGUGGCUCCAUGGUGAAGGUGUUAGCACGCAUCAGAGCUCAGAAGAAUGAGGGUGGACAUAGUGGGACUCUCCGAGAUGAAGAGGCCUGGCAGUGGCAAGAUCAGUAUGGGGGGGAUACAUCUACUACGGAUCCAACAUAAGCAAUGGUGCCUUCUCAAGGGGGUAGCUACGGGCCUUAGUAGUAAAUGCCUCAAACUUCACUUUUCAUGCAUGAUGCUGAAAGGAAUGUGUCACAUCUUGAAGACCACCUACAUCAAACUUCAAUGGAGAGCUGCUUUGCAUGUGACUGUGGACCAAAACUGCUUUACAGGAGCCGUCAAGAGUAGAAAGAGCUUUACUAAUUAAGAGUGACAACAGACAAAGAUAAUACUAUAGUCUGUUCACGGAGCCUGUUCAUCUGGCGCCUAGGCAGCGUUUGUUACGGCUCCUGUGAUUGGCUGCACCCCUCCCUCACUCACAUGCCAUGCAUGUACGCCGUGACGCUACACACUUGUAUUAUUGUCGUCAUAGCUCGUCUCUUAUUCAUGACAGACCACUUUAGCAGUAAUUGCGCAACUCAGUUAUGUUUAUCAAAACUCGAUAAAAUAAUACAUAAAGGCUUUUUAGGGGCAGUGUGCCAAACAUUCACAAAACUUCACUAUUCGAGGGUGUCUGUAUCCCCUAGCCCCUGCAAAUAAGGGGGGACAGGUGUAUUUUUUACUUAUUCUAGUUAAAUAAAGCAACACAAUAUGAUACAGUCAACAGGUUCUGUCAAAAGUUCACAACUUAAAUCAUACUCGUGUUGCUGAAACUGGCCUAAACACCUGACUGGAACCUUCUGGUAGAGCAGAGCCUCACAUCUUAUCAGUCUUACUCUAAAUUAACUUGAAAAUUAUCUGGUGAAUCUCUCAAGAUUUCUUGGCUGUGAUGUUUCAAAAUCCCAAACCUGCUCUUAACCCCUUGACUGUGGAUUUCCUACAAGACAUCACCAAGCUACAGGAGUGGAACAAAAAGUGGCUGCUACAAUUCAAUGAAGAAAAAUGUAAAGUCCUGCACCUUGGGAGGGGAUAUCCAGCACACCAAUACCAAAUGGAAAACACUCCACUAUCCACCACAGAGGCAGAGGAAGACCUGGGAGUGUAUGUUACCAGGCUACCAGUGAAGACGAAAUCUGUGCCAAUCGCAGCGGACGGGUUAACUACCACUGUGAACAAUGAACACACACUGCACAAGGCUGCUCAGACAUCCCUGCCACGAAUCAUCACUUGUAAGAUCCCUUAAGUGUUAUCUUUGAAGCACUUCACAUUAAUGAAAAUAUUUUACUUAGAUCUGCAGAAACAGAUAACUGCAGGUUAAGGACUUUCAUAACAAACCACACUUUGUCUGCUUACUAUCAGCACAGCAUCACCACCGCCAACCACAUAGAGGACCACAGGGGACUUGUAGCUGUGCUGGGCACAUCAUCAAAAUGAUCUUCGGUAGUCACCACCAACCCUGGAAGAAAACUUUUCUUAGUCAUCACUUUAUUUCCUGGGAUGAGUCCAGUUUAAUAUUUCACUUUGGUGGAUGACUUAUUGAAGUGGUCACUUUAACACCUGCUGGACUCACUGCCUGCUUGGCCUCUGCCUUCCUGGAUUGCUCACACCUGGAGUGAAGGAGUGCCUGCAGGGACUGGUGGAUGCUGUGCUUCGUGGGUGUUGGAUUCAAAUUCAAACAAUGAAUCCCUGUUUGCAACCCAAAGCCACGUUCUUUCCUCCAUCAUGUGUAUAUAUUUUCUCGACCGAGUCCUUCUGGAAAAAUAUAUAAUUGAUACAAACAUUUCAAUGGAAUGAGCCUGUUUAGAUACAAGCAAAUUUCUCUUAGCAAUAAACUAUCAAACAACGA